GGUGAACAGCUAGUGACAGAAAAUAUAGUACAUUCUAAAUUGGCUAUUCUCAGAUGACUAGAAGGCCAAGUGAAAAUAUCUCCAUGGCAUCAUCCAGUGACGCAGCUGGUCAGUCACACGGACGUGACUUAACAGUCUCUGAGCAUACAGUUGCUUCUCUUGCUCCAGGGCCAUUUGGGGGUGGGAGGAGUGGGAAGAAAGAGAAAUCUCUCCUUGGAACAGCUGUCCUCUUUCUUUUGGCACACAGCGAGCUUUCCAUCCACUUAAGAUGAAUGCAUGUGAAGGCUGCAAAGUCUGCGAGACUUUCCUGAUUAGCAUCUAAAUCCUUUGCCUCUAUCUCCUCUUUCCCAAACUUAAAUCAAUAUUUUUAUCACCCUGUUCAGAAUGCCGUGCUCAAGCUGAAUGAAAUCACAGCUCAGAGAGAACACCAGGGCCCCUGGCACUGCAGACUCAGACGGAGUCCAUGAGUUCCAGGUAUAUUCAUCUUGCUGUGGAUGUUAUGGUGUGCCUCCUGUCUCUCCUCUUCUUCAUUUCCAUAACACAAAUGCCAGGCUUAGAAAUUCAGAAGCAUCUUGAAUAGUCAGGCCAUCUUGAGAAUGGGAGUGUUGUGGCAUGGACUGUGCAGCAGCAGAAGGAAUCUGGAUUCCUGACAACUGUGAAGUCCCCUUUCUACCCUUUAAUAUGUACCUUUGGAUGUAAGCCACUUGUUUUGGUUUUCCCCUAUGUACAGCUGAGUUUAAUCUUAACUGAUACUGAAACAUAUGGCCUACGGAGAAACUAAAGACACAUCUACCUCAAUACUGCCUAAAUGUAUUUAAGAUCCAGUUACAAGCAAAAUCUAUUACAUACAUAGAUUUUCAAAGUAGAUAGUUAGUAUAUCAGAAAAGUUAUCUUGAGGGUGAUGGCUUUUUAACUGAGCUUUGAAUAAAAGGUAGGAAAAAGUGAGAAGUAUUACAGUUAUAUUGAACAUAUGGGAGAAAAAAAUAAUCUCAGAAGGAAAAAGUGACACAUUAAUGAUUUCUCAAAUUUUAAUGAUUAAAUUUUGAAGUAUUUAAAGGAGAUGGACCAAAACCAAAGAUGUCACCAAAAAAGAAAACUACAGGCCAAUAUCACUAAUGAAUAUAGCUAAUCAAAAAAAUCCUCAACAAAAUACUAGCAAACAGAAUCCAGCAGCACAUUAAAAGGAUCAUACACCAUGAACAAGUGGUGUUUAUCCCAGGAAUGCAAAGAUUCUUCAAUAUAUGCAAAUCAAUCAAUGUGACACACCAUAUUAAAAACCUGAAGGAUAAAAACCAUAUGGUCAUCUCAAUAGAUGCAGAAAAAGCUUUUGACAAAAUUCAACACCAUUUAUGAUAAAACUCUCCAGAAACUAGGCAUAGAGGGAACU